UACGAAGGGUGCAAGCGUUAAUCGGAAUUACUGGGCGUAAAGCGCGCGUAGGUGGUUCAGCAAGUUGGAUGUGAAAGCCCUGGGCUCAACCUGGGAACUGCAUCCAAAACUACUGAGCUAGAGUACGGUAGAGGGUAGUGGAAUUUCCUGUGUAGCGGUGAAAUGCGUAGAUAUAGGAAGGAAUACCAGAGGCGAAGGCGGCUACCUGGACAAUUGCUGACGCUCAGGCACGAAAGCGUGGGGAGCAAAAGGGAUUAGAAACCCGGGUAGU
rnacentral:rRNA from 1 species